rnacentral:rRNA from 1 species
CGGGUGAGUAACACGUGGGCAACCUGCCCUUUGGAUGGGGGAUAACCCCGCGAAAGCGGGGCUAAUACCGCAUGAUAUUCCGAGGACUUCGGUCUUUGGAUUCAAAGCCUGCAAAGGCGUCUAAGGAGGGGCCCGCGCCCGAUUAGCUAGUUGGUGAGGUAACGGCUCACCAAGGCAAUGAUCGGUAGCCGGUCUGAGAGGAUGGCCGGCCACACUGGAACUGAGACACGGUCCAG